rnacentral:rRNA from 1 species
UACGUAGGGUGCGAGCGUUAAUCGGAAUUACUGGGCGUAAAGCGUGCGCAGGCGGUGAUGUAAGUCAGAUGUGAAAUCCCCGGGCUCAACCUGGGAACUGCAUUUGUGACUGCAUCGCUGGAGUGCGGCAGAGGGGGAUGGAAUUCCGCGUGUAGCAGUGAAAUGCGUAGAUAUGCGGAGGAACACCGAUGGCGAAGGCAAUCCGCUGGGCCUGCACUGACGCUCAUGCACGAAAGCGUGGGGAGCAAACAGG